UGCAUGGAGCCGACCUUGAAAUACCACCCUUUAAUGUUUGAUGUUCUAACGUUGGCCCGUAAUCCGGGUUGCGGACAGUGUCUGGUGGGUAGUUUGACUGGGGCGGUCUCCUCCUAAAGAGUAACGGAGGAGCACGAAGGUUGGCUAAUCCUGGUCGGACAUCAGGAGGUUAGUGCAAUGGCAUAAGCCAGCUUGACUGCGAGCGUGACGGCGCGAGCAGGUGCGAAAGCAGGUCAUAGUGAUCCGGUGGUUCUGAAUGGAAGGGCCAUCGCUCAACGGAUAAAAGGUACUCCGGGGAUAACAGGCUGAUACCGCCCAAGAGUUCAUAUCGACGGCGGUGUUUGGCACCUCGAUGUCGGCUCAUCACAUCCUGGGGCUGAAGUAGGUCCCAAGGGUAUGGCUGUUCGCCAUUUAAAGUGGUACGCGAGCUGGGUUUAGAACGUCGUGAGACAGUUCGGUCCCUAUCUGCCGUGGGCGCUGGAGAACUGAGGGGGGCUGCUCCUAGUACGAGAGGACCGGAGUGGACGCAUCACUGGUGUUCGGGUUGUCAUGCCAAUGGCACUGCCCGGUAGCUAAAUGCGGAAGAGAUAAGUGCUGAAAGCAUCUAAGCACGAAACUUGCCCCGAGAUGAGUUCUCCCUGAGACUUAGAGUCUCCUGAAGGAACGUUGAAGACGACGACGUUGAUAGGCCGGGUGUGUAAGCGCAGCGAUGCGUUGAGCUAACCGGUACUAAUGAACCGUGAGGCUUAACCUUACAACGCCGAAG
rnacentral:rRNA from 1 species